ensembl:ncRNA asRNA:CR45024 antisense RNA:CR45024
AGGUGGCUGGACUAGCAAGACAACGGGUGGAGACAGCAGAUAGGUUCCGACUGCAGGAAGACCCACGGGCACAACAUGACCAUGGGACUCCUCCCAGUAACUGAUAGCCAAGAGGCCGAGAAAAAACUGGUUAGGGGAAUGAAAAAUUAGACGUCUUCGACAUAAUGUGUGCUCGUCGCUCCACUCACCACUGUGGCACGCAUUUUGGAGAGCUAGUUUCCGAUCCCUUCGAGUCCGUUCUCGACAGCUUCCACGGCGGGACUGACUCGGUUGGCAAUGCCCUAGGCCAGCUUUUAUACGGUCAUACGGAGAUCGCUGGUUGCGACUGCUGAUUAAUUGUGAGCAGGGGCACUGUCUAUACUUGGAAGCUGCUGCCACUUUGCAUGGCACCUGCAUAAAUCAAGUGCUACCAACGCUAAUUGCAGCAACAACAGUUACGAGAGACAAUGAUCUUGUUAAUGUGUGUAAUGUGCACCAUAAGGCUUGACCACCCGAUCAAAAGACGCAGUUGCCAUUACACCUGAACUUGGCCUUUUGAUUGACACGAGCCAGUCUUCGGAACGUUGGCUGCCCUACAUGAACCCAUAUAUGGAGUUGGCAAUACAUUCUUGUCUAUCAGAUUUACGAGGCUUCCUACCCUUGGAGACUCAAAUAAGUACUAUUACGCCAUACAAUGUUGGAUAUAUAUUAUGAAAAUAUUUAAAAAUCACAGCUAA